UUUUACUUAGACCGUCUCUGAGAUUUCCUCUGUGACUUUGGAAAUGCCACAGGAGCGUGUGCUUUCACCUCAUUACGAGAUGACUGCCAACAACAGCACUGUGCACCUGGAACAUGCAUCCCCUCAGCAGCCCCUGCUCUCAGGACAGGGUGUGGGGGAGGUGUCACCCCAAAGGAGAACUCAGCGGCCUCAGGUGGGUUUGGUCUGGUGGGUCUCAGGCCCUCUCUGUGUGACAGAAGACGCUGCGGAUUCCCAGUGCCCUCACCCACGGGGAUAUUCUGGAACACUAUAUGGAUAGAUGCAACUUGCAGGAAGCUAAUGGUGAUGCAAAUGACUCUUGACCUACAGCAAUGGAAAUGUUUUGUCCAGCGGAGCUGUUGCAGAUCACUUCUGCAGGUAGAAAAGAAAAUCUCAAGUGACAGUUGCCUUGGUCUGCUGGAUGCUAAUCUGUUCUGAAGCCAUAAUCACAGUGCUGCACCAGCAUUCUCUCCAGAGCGGCUGUCUGUGCCUUGUUCUCUCCAUUCUUUAUGAACCAGCCUUAGCAUCUUGCUUAUUGCCUCAUUAAGGUAUUAAUUAGAAUCUUUCGCAUGUGCUCCUUUUAAAAAUACUCAGAUUUAUGAGAGUUGCCCACACUCCAGUUACGGUCUUUUUGCUGAUCUUGCUUUUUCUGUAUCGAAAGCUCUCCAUAGCUUUCAAAAAACCACAGUCACAUGGAACGUUGCCGAGACUCUGCUUGCCUUACCAUCAGCUAGUCAUGGUGCACAAAUUAAAACUGGGAACCAAUCGUGUGGAGUCUGGCAUUUGCCGUGGAUAAGUUGCCAGAAUCUUAUGCUUCAGGACAAAGUUCUCUCUGCAGAUAUCCUGGAGGCCAGAGUUAACUUGGUGUGUGGAAAUCACUGCCUUGACACGUGUUAUGGGUUAAGCUGUGUCCUCCAUAAGAGCUAUGUCAAAGGCCUCACCCCUAAUACCUAAUAACGCGACCUUAUUUGGAAAUAGGGUCAAUGCAAAUACAAUCAGUUAAGAUAGGUCAUUCUGGAGUAGGGUGGGCCCUAAUCCAAUUUGACUAGUGUCCUUUAUAAGAAGACGGUGUGAAGACAGAGACACAGGGAGAAGGCCGUGUGGAGACGGAGACAGAGAUUGGAGUGAGGUGUCCACAAGCCAAGGAAAUGCCAAAGAAGGCUGGCAAGCCACCAGAAGCUCCGAGGAGGCCAGGCAGGAUCCCGACAGCACUCAGGGGAGCCCGGCCCUGCCAACACCGCCAUUCUGGAUUUCUGGCCUCCAGCACCGUGAGAUGACAAAGUUCUGUUGUUGGAAGGCCCCAGUUGUGGUUCUUUGUUAUGGCAGCCCGAGGACAUUAAUGCAACAGAUAAGCCUGAAAAUAACUGUUUAAAACCAAGUGACUUUCAACCAAAACUUUCCUUCCCAGGGUUCAGAGUAUGAAGUUUUCUGCUUUAUUUAAAAGGUAAUGUGCAAACCUUGAAGGAGUUCAGUCCAAAGAUCAUUCUCAAAGAAAAUUUCUAGUAAACUUUCAUCCUUAUUUUUAACGUCCACAGUAUCUCCAGGAAUCUGCUCCUCUUCAUUCCUUCCAUCUGUGAUGUGAAACCAGAGCAGCGAGCUCCCACCCCACCAGGAGCUGAAAUGUGUGAGUGACCAUGAGCCACAUUGGGGAAAGUUUAGCUCCUUCCAUGAGAGAACGGGCUGUGACGGACAGAAGUAAUACCCGUUAACUAAGUGUUGACAAAAAUAAUCCAUAAUCAAUCUAUAAAUGAAAAUUUGGGUGAGUUUAUUCUGAGCUGAAAUCUGAGGACCAUGGCCUGGGGCCUUUCUUCCCAAAGGAAGAAAGGGCACCAAAGAAGUGAGGUAUACAGAGUGGUUAUAUACCCCCAAACAGGACUUUCACAUAUGAUUGAAAUGUCCCUCCCACAAUAGUCACAAGAUUGCCCUGUCAGCACAGCGCUUGAUGGACACAGCAGGUAGUGGUCUGCUCUCUCAGAGGGCGUAGCAGGAGGCAAGUCUAUUGUCUCGAGCUGGGCGGUCACAGGUGAGCUCAGCAAUCAGUUUCUAGCCUAAGGAAAGAUGCUUAAUCCUUAAGGAGAUGCCAACGUUGGGAGGGGGAGGGAAGUUGCACCUUUAUCUCAAGGGCCUUUGUUCUUGCCAUAGGGAAUACCUAAAGCAGAUAGACAAUGCAUGCUCAACAGCCUCGGUCAGGCCCUUUUGGAAAGACAAGGUCAGGCCGAAUUAGGUUUACACCAAAUGGCUUCCUCAUAUUCUACAAUAUAUCCUAUUGCUUGCCGUUUUUAUUUGUCAUAAGUUUUCCACAUUCACAUAUAGAAAAAGAGUUAUUUAAAAGAAAAUUCAAAGAAAAAGCAAAUAGCACAAUUUUAAAAUAAGAAAAUUAAGAGCCUAGUAAAGACUAAUGGUUGAACAAAAGAAAAAUAAUAAUGAGAUCUAAAGUAAAUGAGGUUCAAGAUAAAAUCUAGGAACUCAAUAAAUACAAGUUAUAAUAUCA
rnacentral:lncRNA from 1 species